AUGUAUAGAUGUCAUCGUUACGAUUUUUGCUAAAUAUACUUAAUUUUUGUUCUCUUUUUUAUUAAUGCAAGGACCAGGGUUUUUUGACAUGCAUAAAUUUGAACAAAUCAACACUCUUACUUCAGAUGGAGCUGACAUAGAAAGUAGUAUUAGCUUACCGGUGUUGCUCAUGAUUAUAUGAGAUUUAUUUGUCGUGGAUCCAGGUGUGGAUCCAGGUAUACCGAAUGUACGUUAUGUAAAAAUGAACCAUAAAAUUUGUCAAAAUUCUUUCUCUACUUCUACUGAUUGUGGAUAAAUUCUUUAUAUCAGGUGACUAGGUUGGUGGUCAAUUGAUGAAGGGAGUCGGGAGGAGCAAGUUCAGCUAUAUUGUGCAUUGGGAUCUAGGCAAUGCAUCACAUUAAACACAUGGACUGGACGAGGUUGGACUGUUUGAUGAAGUGAAAGAACGUUAUCGUGGAAGUCAUAUUUGUUGUCGCUUAACAAUUUAUGAAGUGGAAUUUAUUAUGAAAUAAUUAUAGUAAUCUUUCUUAUUAUUUGGAAUGAUUGAUUUAUUA